rnacentral:sRNA from 1 species
AUUUUAACUUCAUCUAAUCUAUUGUUCUUCAUUCUAU